CGCAAGCCUGACGGAGCAAGACCGCGUGCGGGAUGACGGCCUAAUGGUUGUAAACCGCUUUUCUCUGGGAAGAUGAUGACGGUACCAGAGGAAUCAGCCUCGGCUAACUCCGUGCCAGCAGCCGCGGUAAUACGGAGGAGGCAAGCGUUAUCCGGAAUUAUUGGGCGUAAAGCGUCCGCAGGGGGCGCAUCAAGUCUGCUGUUAAAGGUCGGAGCUAAACUCCGGUAGAGCAGUGGAAACUGGUGCGCUAGAGGGCGACAGGGGUAGAGGGAAUUCCCAGUGUAGCGGUGAAAUGCGUAGAGAUUGGGAAGAACACCAGUGGCGAAAGCGCUCGACUGGGCCUGCACUGACACUGAGGGACGAAAGCUAGGGGAGCG
rnacentral:rRNA from 1 species